rnacentral:lncRNA from 1 species
AUGUCGCCACCGCUCCCUGGUCCGCGCUGCUGUCGCAGAGUCUGCGACCCGGAACUACUCCCCGGCUACACCCCUUCCCGCCCCCUGCCCCCAAUGCCGAUGGGGCGCUCCGGUAGGGGCUCUGCGGGGUCUUUUCUGGGGGGUCUGGGCAUGAGAGAGGGCCGGAGAAGGGGACGCGGGUCUCACGAGUGGGACCCUGAGCGCCCGCGGGCCCUCCGAGCAGCCCGGGCGCCGGACCACGCUCCCACAGGCCGCACCCUCACGGCACCCAAGCCUGCCAAUCCCGGCCCGUCUUUCUCCGCCCUGUCCAAUCACAGCCGCCCUUUCAAUCCGGGCGCGGUCCCGCCAAUCUCAGCCUGCCCAGUCACGGCCCGGCCCCUCUGCCUGGUCCCACUCCCCGGUACUCCUGAGGCGCCGCUCCCGCUCCCGCCGCUUUCGGAGCCGGCGGAGCUGUGUUCCCGCUGCCGCAGCCUCGGCAGGCGCUGUUGGGGCCGGGAAGGGCGGGCGGGAGCUUCCAGUUCAGGUCCUUGCCCGGGAUUUCUCCCAGGGAAACGGGCAGAUGGCGGGGAGCGGGCGGUCUCGGCCCCUGCAAUGGCGACGGCGCGAGCAGGGCUUGAGGGGACCGCGGGGGGGUCUCGGAGCCGAGCGCGGCGGGAUAGGCGGGCUGGGAUUGGUGGGGCCGGCGCUGCCUCGGGUUGUGAUUGGCUGGCUGAUCCGGCCCGGGGCAUAAAUAGCGUGCGUUGGGGCGGUACAGGCGUUAGUUCGGCGGUGAACGUGCGAGUGACUGUUCGGUACGUGCCGAUGUGGGAUUCGAGGAGCGGCGCUGCGCUAGGACUGGACCCCCGCGGCAGCCCGAAGCUGCAGUGAGAAGCAGAAGCAGCUUUUAGCUGCAGGCAGUAAAAAGCAGAGGAGCUGGAGCUGAGGCAGCAGAGCUGGAGGAGACAGAAAUAUGGUAGGGUUUGGGGUAAAACCCCUGUGGGGUUGGGAUAGGGAAUGUGGAGCUGGGAGGUGAACUCCAUGGUCGGAGCUGAAAUUGCUGUAAGGGCUGUGACUGAGCUCAAACCAUACAGAGCUAGAGCUAAAACAAAGAUCCUGCCCUGAGGAGCACAAGUAGCAUUAUGUGGCACUGCUGGGGGGAUGUUGAGGGGGAAGUGGAACAGAAGAGCUGGCAGUGAAAUAAAGCUCGUGGGACUGGAGCUGAAAUCA